GACGAACGCUGGCGGCGUGCUUAACACAUGCAAGUCGAACGAUGAAGAAGAGAAACGCGAACUUCGGUUCAAAUUUCACUUCGGAUUAGUGGCAGACGGGUGAGUAACGCGUGAGCAACCUACCUCUUACAAAGGGAUAGCCUCGGGAAACCGUGAUUAAUACCAUAUGACACAUUCAUAAGGCAUCUUAAGAAUGUUAAAGCUACGGCGGUAAGAGAUGGGCUCGCGUCCCAUUAGCUAGUUGGUGAGGUAACGGCCCACCAAGGCGACGAUGGGUAACCGGCCUGAGAGGGUGAACGGUCACAUUGGAACUGAGACACGGUCCAAACUCCUACGGGAGGCAGCAGUGGGGAAUAUUGCACAAUGGAGGGAACUCUGAUGCAGCGACGCCGCGGGAGCGAUGAAGGAAUUCGUUUCGUAAAGCUCUGUUCUAUGGGAAGAAAAGGACUGUACCAUAGGAGAAAGCCCCGGCUAAAUACGUG
rnacentral:rRNA from 1 species